GCGGUGGAUGAUGUGGUUUAAUUCGAUGCAACGCGAAAACCUUACCCACCUUUGACAUGUACGGAACCUUUAGAGAUAGAGGGGUGCUCGAAAGAGAGCCGUAACACAGGUGCUGCAUGGCUGUCGUCAGCUCGUGUCGUGAGAUGUUGGGUUAAGUCCCGCAACGAGCGCAACCCUUGUCAUUAGUUGCUACAUUCAGUUGGGCACUCUAAUGAGACUGCCGGUGACAAGCCGGAGGAAGGUGGGGAUGACGUCAAGUCCUCAUGGCCCUUAUAGGUGGGGCUACACACGUCAUACAAUGGCUGGUACAAAGGGUUGCCAACCCGCGAGGGGGAGCCAAUCCCAUAAAGCCAGUCGUAGUCCGGAUCGUAGUCUGCAACUCGACUACGUGAAGUCGGAAUCGCUAGUAAUCGUGGAUCAGAAUGUCACGGUGAAUACGUUCCCGGGUCUU
rnacentral:rRNA from 1 species